rnacentral:rRNA from 1 species
AGAGUUUGAUCCUGGCUCAGGAUGAACGCUGGCGGCGUGCUUAACACAUGCAAGUCGAACGAAGCACCUUGAUUUGAUUCUUCGGAUGAAGAUCUUGGUGACUGAGUGGCGGACGGGUGAGUAACGCGUGGGUAACCUGCCUCAUACAGGGGGAUAACAGUUAGAAAUGACUGCUAAUACCGCAUAAGACCACAGCACCGCAUGGUGCAGGGGUAAAAACUCCGGUGGUAUGAGAUGGACCCGCGUCUGAUUAGGUAGUUGGUGGGGUAACGGCCUACCAAGCCGACGAUCAGUAGCCGACCUGAGAGGGUGACCGGCCACAUUGGGACUGAGACACGGCCCAAACUCCUACGGGAGGCAGCAGUGGGGAAUAUUGCACAAUGGGGGAAACCCUGAUGCAGCGACGCCGCGUGAGCGAUGAAGUAUUUCGGUAUGUAAAGCUCUAUCAGCAGGGAAGAAAAUGACGGUACCUGACUAAGAAGCACCGGCUAAAUACGUGCCAGCAGCCGCGGUAAUACGUAUGGUGCAAGCGUUAUCCGGAUUUACUGGGUGUAAAGGGAGCGUAGACGGAGUGGCAAGUCUGAUGUGAAAACCCGGGGCUCAACCCCGGGACUGCAUUGGAAACUGUCAAUCUAGAGUACCGGAGAGGUAAGCGGAAUUCCUAGUGUAGCGGUGAAAUGCGUAGAUAUUAGGAGGAACACCAGUGGCGAAGGCGGCUUACUGGACGGUAACUGACGUUGAGGCUCGAAAGCGUGGGGAGCAAACAGGAUUAGAUACCCUGGUAGUCCACGCCGUAAACGAUGACUACUAGGUGUUGGGCAGCAAAGCUGUUCGGUGCCGCAGCAAACGC